rnacentral:rRNA from 1 species
AGCCAACUCUAGCCCAACCCCCACGACAACCGNACAUAAAAAUCUACUAAAUCUUUANACCAAAACAUUCUUCCAACUNAGUAUAGGCGAUAGAAANGUCAUUAGGCGCUAUAGAGAUCUGUACCGCAAGGGAGAGAUGAAAUAACAAUGAACUAAGCCGAGCAAUAAACAGCAAAGAUAAACCCUUGUACCUCUUGCAUNAUGGUCUAGCNAGAANAACCAAGCAAAGUGGACUUAAGCUUGCCACCCCGAAACCUAAGCGAGCUACUUGUAAGCAGCUAGCCUUGAGCGAACCCGUCUCUGUUGCAAAAGAGUGGGACGACUUACUAGUAGAGGUGAGAAGCCAAUCGAGCUNGGUGAUAGCUGGUUACCUGCAAAACGAAUCUAAGUUCANCCUUGACACCUCCUCCAGGAGCCCUNACCACAACCCCAAUGNAGGUCAUCAAGAGUAAUUUAAAGGNGGUACAGCUCCUUUAAAAAAGGNUACAACCUNCNCUAGCGGAUAACUACAACCUUACAUAANAAUUGUGGGCCUUUAAGCAGCCANCAGNAAAGAGUGCGUCAAAGCUCCCCCCUACAAAAAUCCUAAANCCGUAUGACUCCCUCCCCACUAGCAGGUCAACCUAUACNNAUAGGAGANUUAAUGCUAAAAUGAGUAACUAGGGCANACCCCUCUNAAGCGCAAACUUACAUCNACNCAUUAUUAACAGGCANCUAAUACUCNCACUACAACAAGACUACGUAUUNCAUCCCCUGUUANCCCAACCCAGGAGCGCAUGCUAGAAAGAUUGAAAUCUGUAAAAGGAACUAGGCAAAUCUCCAAGGCCCGACUGUUUACCAAAAACAUAGCCUUCAGCUAAACGAGUAUUGAAGGUGAUGCCUGCCCAGUGACUNUGUUCAACGGCCGCGGNAUCCUAACCGUGCGAAGGUAGCGCAAUCAAUUGUCUCAUAAAUUGAGACUUGUAUGAAUGGCUAAACGAGGUCUUAACUGUCUCUUGCAGAUAAUCAGUGAAAUUGAUCUUCCUGUGCAAAAGCAGGAAUAAACACAUAAGACGAGAAGACCCUGUGGAACUUAAAAAUCAGCAGCCACCUCGCAACAAAACUUAACCNANUAGGCUCACCAGACANGAUGCUGGCUCGCAUUUUUCGGUUGGGGCGACCUUGGAGAAAAACAAANCCUCCAAAAAUAAGACCACCCCUCUUAACCAAGAGCAACCCCUCAACGUACUAACAGUAACCAGACCCAAUAUAAUUGACCAAUGGACCAAGCUACCCCAGGGAUAACAGCGCAAUCUCCUCCAAGAGUCCAUAUCGACGAGGAGGUUUACGACCUCGAUGUUGGAUCAGGACAUCCUAAUGGUGCAGCCGCUAUCAAGGGUUCGUUUGUUCAACGAUUAAUAGUCCUACGUGAUCUGAGUUCAGACCGGAGCAAUCCAGGUCGGUUUCUAUCUAUGUCGUACUUUUCCCAGUACGAAAGGACCGGAAAAGUGGGGCCAAUGAUUCAACACAUGCCUCCUCCCUAAGUAAUGAAUACAACUAAAUUACAAAGAGAUCCCACACAGUACCCAAUCCUAGAAAAGGAUC